UGUAACCACCAGAGAUCACAGCUGUCAUAUCAUCUUGAAACAGCUACAGUUAUCUUGAAAUAUUGUUUGUGUUCAUCACUAUUUUGAAAAGAAUGGUAGCUAACAUACUGGCCUGCAGCUCUUGCGACAUCAUCUGUUAUCAAAGAACUCGACUAUUUCGCAAUGAAGCGAAACACAGGGGCUUCACCUGACGACGGGCUAAGGCACCCACCGCCUUCUAAGCCAUCACUUUUAUUCUUUGCUGUAUCAUCAGGAGCCACCUCAGGUCCUGACAUAUAGUAGGUGUUCAUUACUUUAUUACUGAAUGAACCAGAAAGCAAAUGAAUGACUACUAGCAGGAGCCUUAACACGACCUUGCCCGGGGAGAGGAGCAGAAUGUUCCUGGGAGCCUUUGCCGCUGGCGCUCCUGGGUGCCUUGCUCCCUGCACUGAGAGUUCAGGGCUGACCAGAGUCCUCGCCAGGCGGGACAAAACCGGGCCAUUCCCUUUGCUUUUGCAGCCACACAGGCCGCCUUUACCCAGAGCUGGAGCCCAGGGGAUGUUCCAAAAGGACGUGGCGGACCUUCCGCAACUAAGAUGGGUCAUUACCAUCAGCUCUGGUCCCGGAGAAACGAGGUCGGAGCCGACGGCCGCCGCCGCACUGCCCACUCUGGCCACGCGAUGGCGCUGUGGGCCCGGCGGCGAAGCCCCUGCGCGCGCUCUCGCCGGACUCCCGGCCUGAAGAUCGCGGUUCGGUUCCGCCUCUGAGCGGCCGCGGGGCUCCCGGCCUGGAAAGGGCGCUCGCGAGUCGCCUCCAGCAUCGCAGCAGCCCGGCUGAGGUUAAUCAGCAGCUGGUCGGUUACCGAUUGGUUCUCAGGGACUGGAAAUCAUCCCCAGGACAGAUGGGGAUAACAACCCGGACCAGCUGGUAGGACGGAAGGAGAGGAUGCUGGAAAAGGUGCACUCAGCGCUGGCGCCCUGCACAGCACACUAGGGAAUCAGCAUCAUCCUUUGACCCAGGCCAGGCAAGCUGCAGGUUGUCAUCUCCAGAAGAGGCCAGAAAAUAGACAGUCUAUAGGAAUAUUUACUGCGCUUGCAUGAGAAAAAUUUCCAAGCUACCCCCUGAAGCAAUGAAGUUGGAUAUGGAGCAAAUGGAAACAUUGUGAAAUUGCUUAUUUUCUUCCAAUUUGUUAUUUUUCUUCCUUAUUUUCUGUUAAAUCAGUGCCACUUAUUAGCAACCAUAUUUUUGCAUUAUAUACUCAGCAGAA